rnacentral:tRNA from 1 species
GCCCAGGUGGCGGAAUCGGCAGACGCGCUAGCUUGAGGGGCUAGUGCCCGCAAGGGCGUGAAGGUUCAAAUCCUUUCCUGGGCACCG